CAAUAGCGUAUAUUAAAGUUGCUGCAGUUAAAAAGCUCGUAGUUGGAUCUCGGGCGUGAGCUACUGGUCUUGCUGCUGCAGGUCACUAGUAGUCUCGGCCUAACUGCCGAUUUUCCAUGGGUGCGCUUCAUUGCGUGUCCACGGUAAUCGGAACGUUACUUUGAAAAAAUCAGAGUGCUCAAAGCAGGCUUCAAUGCCUGAAUACUGUUGCAUGGAAUAAUGGAAUAGGAUCUCGGUUCUAUUUUGUUGGUUUUCGGAACUUGAGGUAAUGAUUAAGAGGGACAGACGGGGGCAUUCGUAUUGCGCCGUUAGAGGUGAAAUUCUUGGAUCGGCGCAAGACGAACAACUGCGAAAGCAUUUGCCAAGAAUGUUUUCAUUAAUCAAGAACGAAAGUCAGAGGUU
rnacentral:rRNA from 1 species